rnacentral:RNase_P_RNA from 1 species
UUGGGGUAACGGAAGGUCGCUCAUGAGAAAUCAUGGGAGGAAAGUCCGAACGCCGCAGGACAGGAUGCCGUCUAACCUGUGCGAACAGGAUACAGACGGGGGAACAGCGUCAAGGCUGUUUCACGGAGAGUGCCGCAGAGAAUAUACCGCCUCGCGAGAGGUAAGGGUGAAAAGGUAGCUUAAGAGACUACCGCCCGUGGAGUAAUUUACGGGGCAGGGAAAACCCCAUCCGGCGCAAGACCAAAUAGGGAAUCCUUGAAGUGGUCCGUUUCAUGGUGAAAACCGGGAUUUCGGGUUAGGUUGCUUAGAGAAAUGAUCUUCUCCAUUCGUAAGAGUGCAGACAGAAUUCGGCUUACAGUUUCCCCUUAGCC